UGGAUCGGUGAAGUGGUCUGGUCGGUUCUCUCUUAUUGUGAGCUGGUGUUUUUUGUGAUGGCGAGUAUCCGGCUCAUUGUGGCUAUUAUUUACAGUUUUCCAUUUGGAAGGACCGCUUCGAUAUUACUUGUUGGGAAGCUAUUUCGAGGAUUAAGGCUACAUGGCACAUAGGAAUGAAGAUUAUUCAAACGAUUUUGUAAUGAUAUCUAUGAAGUCUGUUGUUUCACAAGGAUUGGCUUCAGGAUAUUAAGGAGCUUACGGUAGAACUUAACUCUUAAAAGGAUAACUGUAAUGUAUGUUACAUUUGAGGUUUGUUGCGAACUACGAAUUGUUCAUCCAAAGCUUUAGAAUCUGCAGUUGAUCCAUAGCGGUAAUCAAGAGUAGUUUUCAGUUAAUCUGAAACUGGUUGCAAUGAAUCGAAGGUACUUGUAAAGUAUUUUGGAAGCUGGUGGCUGUCUAGUUUUAAUUUUACAUGUGGAUUAAUCAAGUCUGAUAGCCAGAGAUAUGAGAAGAAAUGGUGCUUUAUUUCAAUACUUUAAUAAACUAAAGUGUUUUAAUGCUAAAACUUCAGUUUUACCGUUAUGUGAGUGUCUAUGUAAAUAAACUUCGUAUAAGAUGCAUAUAUUUUGUGAAACAUUGAAAUUAGUUUGUUUAUUCAGAUGAGAAUUAAUUUUGUAAUUUUAUAUUUGUUU